rnacentral:rRNA from 1 species
AUACAACUUUCAACAACGGAUCUCUUGGCUCUCGCAUCGAUGAAGAACGCAGCGAAAUGCGAUAACUAAUGUGAAUUGCAGAAUUCAAUGAAUCAUCGAGUCUUUGAACGCACCUUGCGCCCUUUGGUAUUCCGAAGGGCAUGCCUGUUUGAGUGUCAGUAA